GACGAACCGGACAAACGUUAUUCGGAAUUACUGGGCUUAAAGGGUUUGUAGGCGGCCUUGUAAGUCAGGUGUGAAAUCCCUCGGCUCAACCGAGGAAUAGCGCUUGAUACUGCAAGGCUUGAGGGAGACAGGGGGUAAGCGGAACUGAUGGUGGAGCGGUGAAAUGCGUUGGAUAUCAUCAGGAACACCGGUGGCGAAAGCGGCUUACUGGGUCUCUUCUGACGCUGAGGAACGAAAGCUAGGGGAGCGAACGGG
rnacentral:rRNA from 1 species